rnacentral:piRNA from 1 species
UGGAAAUGCUGCCUAUUGAAA